rnacentral:ribozyme from 2 species
GGUGUAACACGGCUAUAGUCAGGCAUUACAAGAUUAAGUCCUGCUAUAAAGGUCUAAAGCCCUUGUAAACAGUGGAUAGCACU